AACGAACGCUGGCGGCAUGUCUAACACAUGCAAGUCGAACGAGACCUUCGGGUCUAGUGGCGCACGGGUGCGUAACGCGUGGGAACCUGCCCUUAGGUUCGGAAUAACUCCCCGAAAGGGGUGCUAAUACCGGAUAAUGUCUUCGGACCAAAGAUUUAUCGCCUUUGGAUGGGCCCGCGUUGGAUUAGCUAGUUGGUAGGGUAAAAGCCUACCAAGGCGACGAUCCAUAGCUGGUCUGAGAGGAUGAUCAGCCACACUGGGACUGAGACACGGCCCAGACUCCUACGGGAGGCAGCAGUGGAGAAUAUUGGACAAUGGGCGAAAGCCUGAUCCAGCAAUGCCGCGUGAGUGAUGAAGGCCUUAGGGUUGUAAAGCUCUUUUACCCGGGAUGAUAAUGACAGUACCGGGAGAAUAAGCUCCGGCUAACUCCGUG
rnacentral:rRNA from 1 species